UUCCGGUUGAUCCUGCCGGAGGCUACCGCUAUUGGAGUUCGAUUAAGCCAUGCGAGUCGAGAGUCUUAGGGACUCGGCGUACCGCUCAGUAACACGUGGGUAACCUGCCCUAUGCUGGGGAAUAACCUUGGGAAACUGAGAAUAAUACCCUAUAGUUCACCACGCCUGGAACGGUGGGUGGAUGAAAGCUCCGGCGGCAUAGGAUGGGCCUGCGACGUAUCAGGUUGUAGGGGGUGUAACGUACCCUCUAGCCAUCAACGCGUACGGGUGUUGGGAGACAUAGCCCGGAGAUGGAUUCUGAGACACGAAUCCAGACCCUACGGGGUGCAGCAGGCGCGAAAACUUGGCAAUGCGAGCAAUCGUGACCAGGGAACUCCAUGUGGCUGGGGUAAUACCCAGUUUUUUCUUGACUCUUCAAAGGUCUUGGAAUAAGGGGUGGGUAAGGACGGUGCCAGCCGCCGCGGUAA
rnacentral:rRNA from 1 species